UGGGGAAUUUUGGACAAUGGGGGAAACCCUGAUCCAGCCAUCCCGCGUGUGCGAUGAAGGCCUUCGGGUUGUAAAGCACUUUUGGCAGGAAAGAAACGUCGCGGGUUAAUACCCCGCGAAACUGACGGUACCUGCAGAAUAAGCACCGGCUAACUACGUGCCAGCAGCCGCGGUAAUACGUAGGGUGCAAGCGUUAAUCGGAAUUACUGGGCGUAAAGCGUGCGCAGGCGGUUCGGAAAGAAAGAUGUGAAAUCCCAGAGCUUAACUUUGGAACUGCAUUUUUAACUACCGGGCUAGAGUGUGUCAGAGGGAGGUGGAAUUCCGCGUGUAGCAGUGAAAUGCGUAGAUAUGCGGAGGAACACCGAUGGCGAAGGCAGCCUCCUGGGAUAACACUGACGCUCAUGCACGAAAGCGUGGGGAGCAAACAGGAUUAGAUACCCUGGUAGUCCACGCCCUAAACGAUGUCAACUAGCUGUUGGGGCCUUCGGGCCUUGGUAGCGCAGCUAACGCGUGAAGUCGACCGCCUGGGGAGUACGGUCGCAAGAUUAAAACUCAAAUGAA
rnacentral:rRNA from 1 species